rnacentral:snRNA from 1 species
GCACUCCCUUUAGCAGCACAUACACUAAGAGUGGAGUGAUAGAAGAAGAAUAACAGGGCCCUUGCACAAACAUAAUAUGUAACUUCUUGAGGUGCUCCAUAUUUUC